rnacentral:rRNA from 1 species
UCAGGAGUCAGACUGCGGGAGCUAAGUUCCGUGGUCAAAAGGGAAAGAGCCCAGACCGACAAUUAAGGUCCCAAAGAUAUAGUUAAGUGGGAAACGAUGUGAAUUUGCGUAAACAACCAGGAUGUUGGCUCAGAAGCAGCCAUUCAUUCAAAGAGUGCGUAACAGCUCACUGGUCGAGUGAAUUUGCGCGGAAAAUUACCGGGGCUAAACUAUACACCGAAAUUUCGGAUUUACGUAUGAAAAUAUGUAAGUGGUAGAGGAGCAUUCUGUAGUAGGACGAAGUCAAAGCGAAAGCAUUGGUGGACGAGGCAGAAGAGAGAAUGCUGGAAUAAGUAGCGAGAGCAAGGUGAGAAUCCUUGCCGUCGAAAGUCUAAGGUUUCCUGGGGAAGGUUCGUCCGCCCAGGGUAAGUCGGGACCUAAGGUGAGGCUGAAAAGCGUAGCCGAUGGAUAGCAGGUUGAGAUUCCUGCACUAUAGAUAUACUUAAAAGAUGCAAGGGACGCAGGAGUGGAAGAUAAGCGAGGAAGAGGAAAGACUCGUAUCGCAAGAUAUAGUGAAAAUAAAGUAACGAAUUAUCAAGAAGCACACUGACGAGAAAAGCUUGUAGAUAUUGUAUAUAAAUACCCGUACCGCAAACCGACACAGGUAGAUGAGGAGAGGAUCCUAAGACGAGCGGGAGAAGCAUUGUUAAGGAACUCGGCAAAAUAACCCCGUAACUUCGGGAGAAGGGGAACCUAAGUAAAAUUAGGUCGCAGAGAAAAGGCCCAAGCAACUGUUUAACAAAAACACAGGUUUCUGCAAAAUCGAAAGAUGAAGUAUAGGAGCUGACGCCUGCCCAGUGCUGGAAGGUUAAGGGAAAGAGUUAGAUGUAAGUCGAAGCUUAGAACUAAAGCCCCAGUGAACGGCGGCCGUAACUAUAACGGUCCUAAGGUAGCGAAAUUCCUUGUCAGGUAAGUUCUGACCCGCACGAAAGGCGUAAUGAUUUGGGCACUGUCUCGACAAUGUACCCGGCGAAAUUGUAGUACUAGUGAAGAUGCUAGUUACCUGCGACAAGACAGAAAGACCCCAUGGAGCUUUACUGCAGUUUGAUACUGGGUUUCGAUAAGUUAUGUACAGGAUAGGUGGGAGACAAAGAAAGAAAGGCGUCAGCUUUUCCGGAGUCACCGUUGGGAUACCACCCUUAAUUUGUUGGAAUUCUAACUAGUGGUCAUGAUCUGGCCAGAGGACAAUGUCAGACGGGCAGUUUGACUGGGGCGGUCGCCUCCAAAAGAGUAACGGAGGCGCCCAAAGGUUCCCUCAGUGCGGACAGAAAUCGCACGAAAGAGUGUAAAGGCAGAAGGGAGCUUAACUGGAAGAUAGACAUAUCGAGCAGAUACGAAAGUAGGGCUUAGUGAUCCGGUGGAUAUUGAAUGGAAAAGCCAUCGCUCAACGGACAAAAGUUACCCUGGGGAUAACAGGCUUAUCUCCCCCAAGAGUUCACAUCGACGGGGAGGUUUGGCACCUCGAUGUCGGCUCAUCGCAUCCUGGAGCGGAAGUACGUUCCAAGGGUUGGGCUGUUCGCCCAUUAAAGCGGUACGCGAGCUGGGUUCAGAACGUCGUGAGACAGUUCGGUCCUUAUCUGUCGCAGGCGGAAGAUAUUUGAGAGGAGCUGUCCUUAGUACGAGAGGACCAGGAUGGACAUACCGAUGGUGUAUCAGUUGUCACACCAGUGGCACGGCUGAGUAGCCAAGUAUGGACGGGAUAAACGCUGAAAGCAUCUAAGUGUGAAGCCCACCUCAAGAUAAGAUAUCUCAUAUCGUAAGAUAGUAAGAUUCCAUAAAGACUAUGUGGUUGAUAGGUUGGAGGUGUAAGUACAGUAAUGUAUUGAGCUGACCAAUACUAAUAAAUCGAGGGCUUAACCAC